rnacentral:rRNA from 1 species
GCGUACUCUCGGAGUGACGGGUACACUGUGGGACCGCCGCUGCUAAAGCGGAGGAAGGAAUGGGCAACGGUAGGUCAGUAUGCCCCGAAUAUCCCGGGCUACACGCGAGCUACAAUGGUUGGUACAAUGGGUAUCUACCCCGAAAGGGGACGGGAAUCUCCUAAAACCAAUCUUAGUUCGGAUUGAGGGCUGCAACUCGCCCUCAUGAAGCUGGAAUCCGUAGUAAUCGCGUUUCAACAGAACGCGGUGAAUACGUCCCUGCUCCUU